rnacentral:hammerhead_ribozyme from 1 species
AUCCAGCUGACGAGUCCUAAAUAGGAUGAAACCCGCAUCCUGGAU